rnacentral:rRNA from 1 species
CACACACACACACACACAGUAAUAAAGUCUCAUGGAAUGUAUGCCGCGUUUAACGCAAUACAAUACAACUUUCAGCAACGGAUCUCUUGGCUCUCGCAUCGAUGAAGAACGCAGCGAAAUGCGAUAAGUAAUGUGAAUUGCAGAAUUCAGUGAAUCAUCGAAUCUUUGAACGCACCUUGCGCCCUUUGGCUAUUCCGAAGGGCAUGCCUGUUUGAGUAUCAUGAACACCUCAACUCUCAUGGUUUGCCAUGGAGAGCUUGGAAUUUGGGGGUCUUUGCUGGCCUGUGGUCAGCUCCUCUCAAAUGAAUCAGCUUGCCAGUGUUUGGUGGCGUCACAAGUGUGAUAACUAUCUACGCUUGUGGUUUUCUGCCAGAUGACCUUCAGCGAUGGAGGUCCACUGGAGCUCAUAAAUGUCCCUCCCCAGUGAGGACAGCUCUUUGAAUGUUUGAUCUCAAAUCAGGUAGGACUACCCGCUGAACUUAAGCAUAUCAAUAAGCGGAGGAAAAGAAACUAACAAGGAUUCCCCUAGUAACUGCGAGUGAAGCGGGAUGAGCUCAAAUUU